rnacentral:rRNA from 2 species
GAGUCAAACGGGUGGAUCCGCAGAGUCCGCCCGGGGAAUUCAGCCCGGCAGGCGAGGCCGCGCGUCAGCCGAGAUUCGUCUCGGACCUGGCUGGCGCGCCGGCGCUGGCAGGCAGGGUGCACUUUCCCCGGCCAGCGGAGAGCCACGACCGGUUCGGUGGCGGUCAGGAGCCCGGCGGGGAGGUAGCUCGGUGGGUCUCGGCCCUCUGAGAACGUACAGCCCGCCGAGGUGGACACGCCGUCGGACCGAGGAUGCCGCCGCGGCCAUCGGGCCCGGGUCGUCCGGGAGCGUUCGACUUUGGCCAUGCUGCUCGCAGCGGGCCGAGACCGCGCGCCUGGUACGGACUCGGCGUCCCGGGGUCGCCUAGGGUCGGUGGCGAAUCGGUCGGCAACCCACCCGACCCGUCUUGAAACACGGACCAAGGAGUCUAGCAUGUGCGCGAGUCACGGGGUCUCUCGAAACCCAAGGGCGCAAUGAAAGUGAAGGCCGCCUCCGGCUGGCCCAGGCAGGAUCCCGACCCACGGGGAGGGCGCACUGCCGGCCCGUCUCGCUGGCAUCGACCAGGAGGCGGAGCAAGAGCGCACACGCUG